AUAGCGUAUAUUAAAGUUGUUGCAGUUAAAAAGCUCGUAGUUGAACUUCGGACUUGGCCGGGCGGUCCACCUAACGGUGUUGUACUGUCUGGCCGGGUCUUACCUCUUGGUGAGCCGGCGUGCCCUUCACUGGGUGCGUCGGGGAACCAGGACUUUUACCUUGAGAAAAUUAGAGUGUUCAAAGCAGGCCUAUGCCCGAAUACAUUAGCAUGGAAUAAUGAAAUAGGACGUGCGGUUCUAUUUUGUUGGUUUCUAGAGUCGCCGUAAUGAUUAAUAGGGACAGUUGGGGGCAUUAGUAUUCAGUUGCUAGAGGUGAAAUUCUUGGAUUUACUGAAGACUAACUAUUG
rnacentral:rRNA from 1 species